GGAAGCUCCUGGAGGGCCAGCCCCGCCCCCCCACCUCAGCCCAGCACUCCCUCUCUCUUCUCCACUAUGGACAGAGAAGGCACUGAGAAGCCCGCCGGCUACACGCCCAGCUGAUAUGGGGACCAACAGAGCCAUGAGCCUGGGUUCAGCAAUCCUUGGUUUACUCCUGCUCCAAGGCUACAGCUCUCAGUCCACGACGACUCAGACCUCCCCAGGAGACCAACCUUCCUCAGGGCCCGGCAGUUCAAGGCUUCUGCUUAGCACCACUUCCCCAGGUACUCCGCUGCCAGGACUAUAAAUGGUGCCCAGAGAGGGCCCAGGAAGAACUUGGCCAUGUCAGCUCUGCAGGAGAAUGUAGACUUGUAGCAGAAGGAACAGGGCCUUACACUGGUGAUACCAAAAUAGGGAAGCAAAAGCAGGUGUCACAGGACCCGUGCAAACAUCACCCGCAUCCGACAUCAGCUCUGGAGGACCCUCCCCACAGGCAGUGGCCUCAAGAUCUGAACCUGUGAAGGAGUGAGAUGAGCAAAUGGAGGUUGUGGGGUGGAAGGUGGGGAAGAUGGGUUCCAAGAUGAGCAAGCUGCAAAG